CUUGUAAAUGAACAACUCAAAUGGGACUUUCAAAUUUGGCAUAUUGACUUUUGAAGCAAAACAAGCUUAUUAUUUGAAUUUCCCAAAGUAUAGUUAAAAGCUCUAGAGUCACAAUUCCAGCUUUGCUUCUGCCCAGCUCAGUGACCUCAGGUAAGUCAAUUAUUUAUUCAAUACCUUAGUUUCCUCAUCUAUCAAGCUGGUUGAAAAUUAACCUGCUCUACUUAAUGCAUGAAGUUGGUGUAAGAAUUAAAUGAGAUAUGUACAGAAAAUAUUUUUUAAAAGACUGAAGUACUAUCAAAAGCAAAUGUUAUUGUUGACUUUAGCCAGAAACACAAAGUAUCCUGUAUCUUGCAACAGGAACACAUUCUUGGCUCUGAUCUUUAUUCACACCAUCAAAAAAUGUCACUUAGCCUGCUUAUCUCCCUGUUGAACUCAUUAGCUGAAUUAUUAAUAGUUCCUCUGAAAUUCAGGUAGUAACUUCUAUUUUAUUUUGCAUUUUUACAGAACCUACCUAUAAGACUGAAAAUGCUAAUUUUAAACAAUAAACAAUAAGCAAAUCAGGCCACUUAAACACAGAACAUAUUGCUUCCCACACUCUGUAUUAGGGGCUGCAAAUAUCAAGGAGACUGUGGUGAACUGAGAAGCGUAAGUCUAGUGUAAAGGGGGCAAAUUCCGAGUCACCUUUAGUCAAUUGCUAUCAUUAAAAAAUUUAGGUCACCAUAGCCAGAUAUUUUGAUUUUUAUGAUUACAAUUUAGACUUUUAUGUAAAAUAUCUUGAUUUUUAAAUGUAGGGAACUGUUUCAAUCAGGAAAAUCUAGAUUACGCUGUAGGGGCAAAUCUUAGUGGUUUUAAACCACAAAGGUUUAUUUUUCAUUAAUGCCAAGUGCCAACUAAAGGCUAACAGAGAGGUUCUGCUGAUUAGUCUCUCAAGGCUCUAGGCUGACUGUACAGUCAGUAUUCAGUGUUGCUGGCCACCACAACACAAGGAGAAGAGAGAGGUCAGGAAGGUCUUGCUAUAGCAAUUAACUGCUGACCCAGUAGUGACAUAACACUUCUGCUCACAAUGCAAUGGCUAACCUAGUACAUGGACCUACCCCCAAACAAAGGCAACAGGUAUAGCUGGCUUAGCAAAUAACACAAUGAUUAUCACCAUUAUUAACUAAAAGAAAUGUAAAGAUUGGAUAAAAGAAAGAGAGACAAAGAAGAAAGAAAGGAAUGAAAGAGGGAGGGAGGGAAGAAGGGAAAGAAAGGAAGGCAGGCAGGAAGAAAGGAGGGAAAAAAGAAAGAAGGGGAAAGAAAGGAGGCAAAGCUGAAAAGCCACAUACAUUUUUGGGUUAAAUUAAGCUAAUGGGCUACCAGUUUGUGAUAUAUACUCCAUAUCCUUUAUUUAAGCCCUGCUCCCUCCACCUCAGAAAACUAUCAUUUGAAUCAUAUGUUGAUUAUUCUCUUCCUUCUCUAAUAGUCAUAUUGCAUCUACAAAUAUUUCUAAAAAGUAUUUACUUAGUUGUUUGACUUUAUAAAAAGGGUUUUGUGCUGUACAUCUGUUUUACUUAAUAUUACACUGUCAAUAGUCAUUCAUAUUGUCUAUGUUUCAGCAGUCAUUCAUUUUGUUGUAUAACAUUUCAUUGUGUGAAUAAACCAGAGUCUAUUGAUCUUCUUCCACUGAUAGACAUUUAGGUUGGUUACAGGUUUUUGCUUUUGUAAAUUUCAAUAAUGUGUCUCUUAUUUUACAUGUACAAGAAUUUGCUUUGGAUAUUAUCUAAGAACUACUGAGUCACAAAAUAUAACUUUAGAAGAAAUGUGAAAAUGCUUUCCAAAGUGUGCUCCCUCUAGUAAUGUAUAAGAUCCUGUGGAUGCACUUUCUCUUCAAUACACGAUACUGUCAGAUGUUUUAAUUUUUGUCAAUCAAAUGGGUGUAAAAUAGUACCUCACUGUAUUCUUGAUUUGUAAUUCUCUGCUCCUUGGUGGUGAUGAGCAUCUCUUCAUAUUUCCUUUUCUAGGAAAUAUCUAUUCAUGUCUUUUGUUGACUUUUCUUUUGUCUUGUAUUUUUUAUAUAUCAGCAGAAAACAAUUAGAAAAUACAAUUAAAGAGAAUAUAUUUCAAUACCAGAAAUUAUUACUUAUCUAGGAACAAAUCUAACAAAAAGAUGUUUAGUACCUCUAUAGGGAAAACUCUAAAAUUUUAUUGAGAAUUUAAACAAGUACUAAAUAAACGGAGACAUAUACCACGUUAGUGGCAAUGUUAAUAAUAUGAAGAUGAAAUUGAUCUAAAGAUUCAAUGCAAUUACAAUCAAAAUUCCUAAUGGGUUUUCCAUUAAAUUUGGUAAAAUUAUUAAAAUUUUUAUAUGAAAAGAUAGAAGGUCAAGAAUACUGGCUGGGUGCAGUGGCUCACACCUGUAACUACUAUACUAAGUAUAGUAAGAAACUAAUUUCUUAAGACAUGGAAAUGUUGGCUAUUAAAAAAAGGUUGACAUAUUUGAAUACAUUAAAAUUAAGGCCUGGAGUGGUGGCUCAUGCCUGUAAUCUCAGCACUUUGGGAGGCUGAGGAAGAAUUUCUUGAACCCAGGAGUUUGAGACCAACCUAGGCAAAAUAGCAAGAUCCUAUCCCUACAGAAAAAAAAAGAAGAAAGAAAGGAAGAAAACUAGCAUGGUGUAAUGGCACACAGCUGUAAUCCCAGCUACUUGGAAGUCUGAGGCAGGAGGAUCGCUUGAGCCCAGGAGUUCAAGGUUAUAGUGAACUAUGAUCGUGCUACUGCACUUCAGCCUGGGCAACAGAGUGAAAGCCAGUCUCAAAAAAUAAAAUACUUUGUUCAUCAAAAAGAUAAAAGUGAAAAGAUAACUUAAAAACUGGGAGAAGAUAUUCAUAAUGUAACUGGCAAAGAAUCAGUAUGAAGAAUAACUCUUCUGAAUAAAUAAUUUAACUAAAAAUUGACAGCAUGUGGCUGUACUGUUUUCUUCCAAUUUUUCAUUAUGAAAUAGACCAUACAUCAAAUAUAUGCAUGUGUUACACUCAUAAACACACACACUCAGUCUUCCAACCUAUAUGAUUAAAAAGAAAGUUUAAGAAAUAAAAUAUGACAGUAGUAGAAGUAACUACUCUUUAAGGAUAGACAUAAUCCUCCUUUUAGAAGAGAGAAUUUAUUUCCUGUCUCCCAAGUUAUAUGACUUGCUUUUGGUAAAUAAAAGUAGGAGUGUCACAUGUCAUUUACUGGUGAAAGGAUUUAAUUGCCAAUGUUCAAUUUUCAAUCUUCUUUUCUUCCUACUAUGGUAAACUCCUACAAGACAGCACCAAAAAACGGAGUGACUGUGCAACACAGUCACCUGCCAAACCCACAUUAAACAUGAAACGAGUGAAAACCAAAUCUUUAUUUUAAACAAUUGACUUAUUAGGGCUAUUUGUUACUUUAGCUUAACUUGUCUUAACCUGAUUUCAUAAAUACCAAUACCUCUGAAAUUCCCUCUCCCUGAUCACAUUCCCACGCCUCCCCACUAUAUACAAUCAUACGUCACUUAACAAAGGGAUACAUUCUAAGAAAUGUGUUGUAAGGCAAUUUUGUCCUUGCGCAAACAUCAGAGAGUGUAUUUACACAAACCUAGAUGGUACAGCCUACUAUAUACUUAGGCUAUAUGGUACAGCCUUUUGCUCCUAAGCUCCAAACCUGUACAGUAUGUCACUAUACUGAAGACUGUAGGCAACUGUAACAACGGUAUUUGUGUAUCUAAACAUAGAAAAAGCAUAGUAAAAACAGGGUAUUAUAAUAUUACCAGACCAUCACCAUAUAUGUGGUCCGCUGCUAACUGAAAUACUGUUAUUGAGUGCGUGACUGUAUAUAUUAUAUAUACAGCUAGCUGAUCCUUGGUAUAUGAGGAUAAUUGGUUCCAGGAUCCCCAUGUAUACCAAAAUCUGUGCAUACUCAAGUCCCACAGUUGGCGCUGUGAAGACCACAUACACCAAAAGUUGGCCCUCCAUAUACUCAGGUUUUGCAUCCCCCAAAUACUGUAUUUUUUAAAUGCACAUUUGUGUAUAAGUGAACCAUCACAGUUCAAACUUGUGUUGUUCAAGGGCCAAGUGUAACUACAUAUACUGUAUUAACAAACAUUUUAAUGCAUGUGGCUACAGUUAAUACUAAUAUAUUCCCACCAGCUGUACAGUAGCCCGCUAGAUGAGUAUACCACAAUUUAUUUAUCCAUUCCCUUGUUAAUGGACACUUUGGUUGUUUCCAACUUCUUAAUAUUAUAAACAAGACUAUUAACAACUUUCUUGACUAUGUUCCUCAAUGCCCAUACAGGGGUCUCCAGAGUACUACUGUCCUUAUUUUUCCUGGCAACCAACUCCAUCUUCCUAAAUUAUUCAAUAAAUUUUUAAAGAUAGAGAACAGCUAGAAAUGGCUUUAAAAUUAAAGGGCCAAAUCCUCUAAUUUUACAAAUAAGGAAUCCAAGGAGAAAAGAUUUAGAGGAAGAGCUGGAAGUUCUAUAUGCCAAUCACUGUGUUUAGCUACGGGUAUACAAGGAGGUUAAGAUAUUUUCCGUCCUCGAGGUGGUCACGGACUAGCGAUUUGGUUUCCACACUACAGUGGGCCUUGAAGUUCAGGUCCUCACCAUCCUCUAUCUACCCCCGGUUGCAAAGAUAUUUCAAAAUAUACUUCUACAUAAUGAAUAUGUUGUUUAAUUUAGAUUUUUAUAUUAAGUCAUCUUUACCCUGGAAAAUGCGCCUCUGCUAACACACAAACUUUGUGAAAUCUUCCCAAGCUCCAUCCAAUCCCCGGCAGAGUGAGGUUCCUCUUGUCUCUGAAGCAAGUUCUUGCAAUAUCUACUAUCACAUAACUUUGUGGUUUGUCUCCUCAUGAGUCUACUGGAGUCAGACCAGAGGCCAGGGCACUUGUACCCUGUAUAUCAAAGUAUGUGAAUGGAUGUUGAAAACACAAAGCAAAAGAAUUUGAGUAUAUCAAGCAACACAGAGUCAGUUAACUACAUAGCUUAGCCUAACCUUUAUGAUAGAGUUUUUAAAGUCCCCUGGACCAGUCAAAAUGUCCCCAGUCGAUAUAAUCUACAUUGGCCCUAUCUUACUAAUUUACUUCUUUUCCCACUUGUCUGCCCUAGAUUAUUCUCAUAUUUAUGCUAAAAAUGCACAAGCUACCAGAGCAACAUCCAAUUUCCCCACAAACGCUAACAAAAGGUUUACUUCAUUUGCUACCAAAAUAAAGUAUUUGAAUUAAGGUACCAAGAGUGAUGUACACUUCUUACAGAAAUUGUGUGUACUACCACGAUAACCAUACAGAUCACUGCGAAAUUUCAACCACAAGCAAAGUGCAAUUAAUAUUACUAAGUUUUCCACCAACAAUCAGCAAACUUAAUUCCUUCCACAACAACAAAAAAAUUGUACAAGCCCAUUCAAUGAUUACUCUAUAAAGCCAGAGAGAGAAGCACAAGGUUAGCUUACUCCAAAGUCAGUAAGACUGUAUGUAUAUAAACAUAUAAAGUCUUCACAUCUACCCUCUCAAAGACCCUUUUGGUUUGCUGAUUCUCAAAAAUUGGGAAGUACUGCAAAAAUCAUCUGGCAACCAGAAGUGAAUGCAACACUCCAGAUGAAUUGUGAAAAGUACCGAAUUUUUGCCUUUAUUCAGACGCCUGUGCUCCUUUUUUCCAACCAUCUGCUUCUAUAAAUUCAUCACAAUUCUAAUACGGUGUGCGCCCCUCCUCCUUCCCUUACCCUGACCCUAACCUUCCAACCGUUGAUUCCUGCAGCAAUCUUCCCUAAGGGAGACACCCCGGCUGUAGGCUCACUUCCUCUCCCAAGUCCCAUUCCUUUCACAAGAGUCAAAUCCCUACAGUGGAUUCCUGGACCGUUUUUUCUAAAAGAAGAUCCCAGUCCUCUGGCUUGCCCCUCCCGUCGUGACUCCCAGUAAGUCCUCCUCUGAAACCCCCUAAUCCAGUCCACGUACUUACAGCGCCUUCCGCUAACACAAACGUAGCCGCUUCCACGCCCCCUUUCCCCGCCAAAGCUGCAUCCCCGCCUCUUCCCCUUAAGACCCAAGAAUUAAACCACUGUAAACCCAUCUUGUAACCUUUAGUCUGCUUUAGUCUCCUCAGUUCCUCCUCAGAGAAUCCUGCCCAACCUUGCGCCAUCGGCCCG
rnacentral:lncRNA from 1 species